rnacentral:lncRNA from 10 species
AAGUUAGCUGUUGGCCAAACUAUUCCUACUUUCAAGGACUUAUAGGAGCAGAAAUCAGAAGACUUUACUCCACACACUUCAGGUGGACAUGUGGACAAAGCCAUCGGAGAACAUGACAAAAAUACAGCAAGAGCAGAGACAAGAUCAGAUCAUCCUGGGGGCAGAUGCUGGGCUCUGACCAAUUUGAGAGAGAAAAGGAAAAAGAACCCAGCUACAAGAUGCACAAGUAGCAGGCCACAGCCACCAACAUCAGCAGAGCAAUUGGAGGCCAGGAAGACAAGGACACUUCUGAAGAGACUGAAAAAAGCAGAAGACAGUCCAAGUCACUGCAAGGUUCCAAGAUGGGGUUUCUGAGAAAGACCAAAUUAGUUAUAGAGCACUAGCUCCCA